CCGCGCUUUGCUCUGAAACGAAACUGAGGUAAAAUCUGUGAGGGAGUCGGUUCAUCGCGGUUCAUCGCGGUUCAUCACGUCAGCUGUAAUGACAGAAGAAACCAUCAGAUCUUAUAAAGAUGCUGCUGCCUCUCAUUUACCUGCAGAAACUCCGCCUACAAAUCCAAAAUUGCAGCAGCUAAUUAACUCCCUGAGAGAAGUUUUGGCUCAGCAUCCGGACGGCAUCAGUCUGAACGAAGCUCGCCGGUCGUGUCCUCUUCUCUUCGACUCGGAGAUGCUGAAGGACCAUCAGUCCGUCCGACACCUGCUCCUGUCCCUGCCGCAGGUCGUGCGUAUGGAAGGGUUUGGUGUUCAAACACGCCUCUUUCCUGCUCCCAAAAAUUUAACCUCUUUUACACCCCAAUGAUUUUACAUCAAAUCCUCAGUGUGUGUUAGGAAUAAUAACAGAACACUUUUUACUACGUAAGUGAUAAAACACACCGCGUCGUACCGUUGGAGGAAAAUAAUCCACGACGCAACACAAACACAUGGUCAGAUUAAAUUGUGUAUUUAUUAAAACACUAAUACAGAACGAUGUACAAUUUUCUAUCAAAUAACUUCCUUUCUUCAAGUAUGCAUUAGCUCAGGUACGAAAUCCUACAGUCUCCAAGUGAGAGAUUUAAUAUUAAAUUGUAUGUAACUUUUUUUUUUCUCAUUUCUGUUAGUAAAAGUGUUAUUAAAAAAAACGGAAAAUCUA